AUCUUUGCAUCACAACACUAACGGAUCCUGAAUUUGAGGAGAGAACAAUUAAUUCUUAGGCCAGCUAGGCAGCAGAGGCUUCCAGAGCUGACUUCUUUUGUGUGUCCUGAAACCAACCAUCAGGACCUUGAAAAUAAGAAGUGCUGAUUUUAGUCGAGGGAGGAAGAUUUACUAGAAUCACGACUGAAUUUGGGAUCGGAGGAGAAGCCCAAAUGAAUAAAAGGAAGCAAGGCAUUAAGAGUCUUUAAGUAGCACAUUUAAAGGAUCGAGAACAUCCUGGAAGUAAGAGCGGAAGCAGAAAAGCCAGCAGAGCAGGCCAUCACAAUAGACGUGGCGUGAGAUGAACUUGCUGAACUUGAAGACACUGACAGCCCUUCCUCUACUGGCCCAGCUUACUCUUAGUUAUGGAGACCCCAGCAAAAAUCACAAGCGCUUCAGUCACUUCACCCCUGCCUCCCACCAUCUGCCCACCAGAAGCCACCUCCAGCACAGCAGAACCACAUCAUGUGUAGCCUCGUGGAUUUAGCAUUUGUUUCUCCAUUUUUUUCUGCUUUUUUUUUCCUUUUGUCAGAUCUCCUGAUUACUGAACCAUAUCUAUACUUACCAUGUCCUUGGGAAACUGGGUCUUGGGUCAGCAGAGGCCAGGAUGCUGAGGAUCUAGGCAAGAGAUCCCUGAUUUCAGGAACCUUCCAGCCUAGUGGGGGAGACAAUCAAGUAAACUCAAAAUAUUAAUAACAGGCCGUUUCUUAAAAGUCGGGU